rnacentral:rRNA from 1 species
CCAUGCAGUCGAGCGGUAGGCCUUUCGGGGUACACGAGCGGCGAACGGGUGAGUAACACGUGGGUGAUCUGCCCUGCACUUCGGGAUAAGCCUGGGAAACUGGGUCUAAUACCGGAUAUGACCUCCUAUCGCAUGGUGGGUGGUGGAAAGAUUUAUCGGUGCAGGAUGGGCCCGCGGCCUAUCAGCUUGUUGGUGGGGUAAUGGCCUACCAAGGCGACGACGGGUAGCCGACCUGAGAGGGUGACCGGCCACACUGGGACUGAGACACGGCCCAGACUCCUACGGGAGGCAGCAGUGGGGAAUAUUGCACAAUGGGCGAAAGCCUGAUGCAGCGACGCCGCGUGAGGGAUGACGGCCUUCGGGUUGUAAACCUCUUUCAGCAGGGACGAAGCGCAAGUGACGGUACCUGCAGAAGAAGCACCGGCUAACUACGUGCCAGCAGCCGCGGUAAUACGUAGGGUGCAAGCGUUGUCCGGAAUUACUGGGCGUAAAGAGUUCGUAGGCGGUUUGUCGCGUCGUUUGUGAAAACCAGCAGCUCAACUGCUGGCUUGCAGGCGAUACGGGCAGACUUGAGUACUGCAGGGGAGACUGGAAUUCCUGGUGUAGCGGUGAAAUGCGCAGAUAUCAGGAGGAACACCGGUGGCGAAGGCGGGUCUCUGGGCAGUAACUGACGCUGAGGAACGAAAGCGUGGGUAGCGAACAGGAUUAGAUACCCUGGUAG